rnacentral:rRNA from 1 species
UAGCUACAGGCUUAACACAUGCAAGUCGAGGGGAAACGAUAUUGGAAGCUUGCUUCCGAUAGGCGUCGACCGGCGCACGGGUGAGUAACGCGUAUCCAACCUGCCCAUCACUUGGGGAUAACCUUGCGAAAGUAAGACUAAUACCCAAUGAUAUCUCUAGAAGACAUCUGAAGGAGAUUAAAGAUUUAUCGGUGAUGGAUGGGGAUGCGUCUGAUUAGCUUGUUGGCGGGGUAACGGCCCACCAAGGCAACGAUCAGUAGGGGUUCUGAGAGGAAGGUCCCCCACAUUGGAACUGAGACACGGUCCAAACUCCUACGGGAGGCAGCAGUGAGGAAUAUUGGUCAAUGGACGAGAGUCUGAACCAGCCAAGUAGCGUGCAGGAUGACGGCCCUAUGGGUUGUAAACUGCUUUUAUAAGGGAAUAAAGUGGGAGUCGUGACUCUUUUUGCAUGUACCUUAUGAAUAAGGACCGGCUAAUUCCGUGCCAGCAGCCGCGGUAAUACGGAAGGUCCGGGCGUUAUCCGGAUUUAUU